CAGAAAACCCCUUUAUACUUUCGCCAUCAACGCUCCUUACGCAGAAGGCAGGAGCACCUCCGCCACCAGGAGACUUUUCAGACAAAAAGCAAUGGAGACAAGUCCAGGCUCUGGCAAAUCAGUUCUGGCCUCGCUGGAGACAAAAAUAUCUACCUUUGUUGCAACAGAGACAAAAGUGGACAGAACCCCGAAGGAAUCUUCAAGUUGAAGACUUAGUCCUGCUCAGGGACAAGCAAGCCGCUCGCAACAGCUGGCCAACGGCCAGAAUCACUGUUACAUUCCCUAGCGGGGAUGGACAUGUCAGGAAGAUCGAAUUGAAGACUACCGACCAAGGCGAUGUGAAAAAUUUACCAAGGGCCAGUUACAGAAGUUAUUCUACUUCUACCCAAUGACUGAUUAAGAGACUAAGUUUUGUACUCUGCUCAUUGUGACCUUACGAAGGUCAAGCGGGGAGUGUGCUGUCUUUACGACAGUUAUUUAGUUUAUAAUAUUUUCGCUUAGUAAUUCAUUCAAUAGUAUUUUCUAGUUAGAAUUAGAAGUGUUUAAAGUAUAUUCAUUGCAUGUAAAAUAUAUCGGCAUGCGAUGACGUCACAUCCGGUUUCGCCGCGUCUUGUGGGAAAACACCGGUUUGAAAUUAGCGCGAGGGUGGGGGCUUUCCACGAGGCUCACCUGAGCACAAGCAGUUUUGCAGGCAUGAGAAAUCACAGUGAGAGCAACGCUUUUUCACCAUAUGUUAAUGUGAAGAGUGAACAGUAAAUGGUUAAUCUUACUGCGAUCUGGUUCUUAUUAACUGUGGUUUAUCCGGACGUUAAAUUCGGCGUUUCGUUACACCCGAAGGAGAACGUGACAGUGAAAAAGCGGCAUUAUCAGGUGUUUCAAGUGCUGCAAUGUCAGCUCAAUCCAGCAUCAAGUCGACGCCGCCCAGCGACAAGGGCAGUAAACCGACAUCAAGUAAGCCCACCCGGGCGUUAUCAGGUGUUCCAAGUGC